CGAAUAUACUUAAAAUAGAAACUAAAUGGGCUAGCGAGCUCAGAAAAUGAUGCCUGUUUUAACCAUCACGAAGCAAAGAACAUGACUCCGCCCAAAAUCCUUCCUUCCAAAUCGACCUCAAACGGCUCCGGCAAUUCAUCUCGCAACCCGAAGAUUUUCCAGGAUUCUGAGUAAUCAUGGACACACCAAGAAGAAGAGGAAGAAGAAGAAUCGCCGAGGCCGUCUAUCCCCACCUCAGAAUCGCCGAGCCCCAAGUAAGGCCGGCCCCGAAGCCGGCGGUGGCGAUGACGCUGCCGGCGGCGACCUUGCCGCUUCUCACGGCCUCGUCCAAGGCCAGAGGAAUGGAAGCGGCGCUCGUGUUCCCAUAGUCAGCCAGAUUCGACAGCAC
rnacentral:lncRNA from 1 species